rnacentral:lncRNA from 1 species
AUUAUCACUCAAUCUGCUCACCAAAAUUCUGAAACAGCCAAGACGGCCCCAAGCCCAAGGAAAGGCUUCAACAACACUGUUCUGUGAAAAUGAUGAUGGCAAUGAAUUAUGCAUUGUUCUCUAAAGUCUGGUACCACGGCCUCAAAUCACAUACUAAAAACAUACUCAAGAUCAACAUAAGCUGGGCAUGCAGGACACACCUGCUAAUCUGUUUUCAAUUAAAGUUUUCCCAUCACCAUGAUGGAUAAAGGAGAUAAAAUAAAGACACACGUAACUAAACGAAGAUAUAAAUAACUAAAACUAAAAGCAAAAGAGCCAUGGGAACACAGAAGCAGCAAAGAUCCCUUGUGGCUCGAAGGACCGGGGGACUUCACGGAAAAGUUGGCAUUUUGAAAUUGCACCUUGAAGGAUGG